GGUACAGCUCAGUGGAAGAGCAUCUGCCUAGCAUGCACAAGGUCCUGGGUUUGAUACCCAGAACCA
rnacentral:tRNA from 1 species